CAGGCUUAACACAUGCAAGUCGAGGGGCAGCAUGGUCUUAGCUUGCUAAGGCCGAUGGCGACCGGCGCACGGGUGAGUAACACGUAUCCAACCUGCCGUCUACUCUUGGACAGCCUUCUGAAAGGAAGAUUAAUACAAGAUGGCAUCAUGAGUCCGCAUGUUCACAUGAUUAAAGGUAUUCCGGUAGACGAUGGGGAUGCGUUCCAUUAGAUAGUAGGCGGGGUAACGGCCCACCUAGUCUUCGAUGGAUAGGGGUUCUGAGAGGAAGGUCCCCCACAUUGGAACUGAGACACGGUCCAAACUCCUACGGGAGGCAGCAGUGAGGAAUAUUGGUCAAUGGGCGAGAGCCUGAACCAGCCAAGUAGCGUGAAGGAUGACUGCCCUAUGGGUUGUAAACUUCUUUUAUAAAGGAAUAAAGUCGGGUAUGCAUACCCGUUUGCAUGUACUUUAUGAAUAAGGAUCGGCUAACUCCGUGCCAGCAGCCGCGGUAAUACGGAGGAUCCGAGCGUUAUCCGGAUUUAUUGGGUUUAAAGGGAGCGUAGAUGGAUGUUUAAGUCAGUUGUGAAAGUUUGCGGCUCAACCGUAAAAUUGCAGUUGAUACUGGAUAUCUUGAGUGCAGUUGAGGCAGGCGGAAUUCGUGGUGUAGCGGUGAAAUGCUUAGAUAUCACGAAGAACUCCGAUUGCGAAGGCGGCCUGCUAAGCUGCAACUGACAUUGAGGCUCGAAAGUGUGGGUAUCAAACAGGAUUAGAUACCCUGGUAGUCCACACGGUAAACGAUGAAUACUCGCUGUUUGCGAUAUACAGCAAGCGGCCAAGCGAAAGCGUUAAGUAUUCCACCUGGGGAGUACGCCGGCAACGGUGAAACUCAAAGGAAUUGACGGGGGCCCGCACAAGCGGAGGAACAUGUGGUUUAAUUCGAUGAUACGCGAGGAACCUUACCCGGGCUUAAAUUGCAGAUGAAUUACGGUGAAAGCCGUAAGCCGCAAGGCAUCUGUGAAGGUGCUGCAUGGUUGUCGUCAGCUCGUGCCGUGAGGUGUCGGCUUAAGUGCCAUAACGAGCGCAACCCUUGUUGUCAGUUACUAACAGGUUCCGCUGAGGACUCUGACAAGACUGCCAUCGUAAGAUGUGAGGAAGGUGGGGAUGACGUCAAAUCAGCACGGCCCUUACGUCCGGGGCUACACACGUGUUACAAUGGGGGGUACAGAGGGCCGCUACCACGCGAGUGGAUGCCAAUCCCAAAAACCUCUCUCAGUUCGGACUGGAGUCUGCAACCCGACUCCACGAAGCUGGAUUCGCUAGUAAUCGCGCAUCAGCCACGGCGCGGUGAAUACGUUCCCGGGCCUUGUACACACCGCCCGUCAAGCCAUGGGAGCCGGGGGUACCUGAAGUGCGUAACCGCGAGGAGCGCCCUAGGGUAAAACUGGUGACUGGGGCUAA
rnacentral:rRNA from 1 species